rnacentral:rRNA from 2 species
ACGGGAGGCAGCAGUGGGGAAUAUUGCGCAAUGGGGGGAACCCUGACGCAGCAACGCCGCGUGAAGGAAGAAGGCUUUCGGGUCGUAAACUUUUGUCUUAUGGGACGAAUAAUGACGGUACCAUAGGAGGAAGCCACGGCUAACUACGUGCCAGCAGCCGCGGUAAUACGUAGGUGGCAAGCGUUGUCCGGAAUUACUGGGUGUAAAGGGCGCGUAGACGGGCAAGCAAGUCAGAUGUGAAAUACCGGGGCUUAACUCCGGGGCUGCAUUUGAAACUGUUAGUCUUGAGUGCAGGAGAGGGAAGCGGAAUUCCUAGUGUAGCGGUAAAAUGCGUAGAUAUUAGGAGGAACACCAGUGGCGAAGGCGGCUUUCUGGACUGUAACUGACGUUGAGGCGCGAAAGCGUGGGUAGCAAACAGGAUUAGAUACCCUGGUA